rnacentral:rRNA from 1 species
AGCGAACGCUGGCGGCAGGCCUAACACAUGCAAGUCGAACGAAGUCUUCGGACUUAGUGGCGGACGGGUGAGUAACACGUGGGAACGUGCCCUUUGGUACGGAAUAACUCAGGGAAACUUGAGCUAAUACCGUAUGUGCCCUUCGGGGGAAAGAUUUAUCGCCAUUGGAGCGGCCCGCGUCUGAUUAGCUAGUUGGUGGUGUAAUGGACCACCAAGGCUACGAUCAGUAGCUGGUCUGAGAGGAUGAUCAGCCACAUUGGGACUGAGACACGGCCCAAACUCCUACGGGAGGCAGCAGUGGGGAGUCUUGCGCAAUGGGCGAAAGCCUGACGCAGCCAUGCCGCGUGAGUGAUGAAGGCCUUAGGGUUGUAAAGCUCUUUCAGUGGGGACGAUAAUGACGGUACCCACAGAAGAAGCCCCGGCUAACUUCGUGCCAGCAGCCGCGGUAA